rnacentral:rRNA from 1 species
CAGUAGCCGCGGUAAUACGUAGGGGGCCAGCGUUGUCCGAAGUUACUGGGCGUAAAGCGCGUGUAGGUGGGUUUUUAAGUGAGGGGUGAAAGGUUCGGGCUUAACCUGGACACUGCCUUUCAUACUGGGAGCCUUGAGUGCGGGAGAGGCGAGUGGAAUUCUUGGUGUAGCGGUGAAAUGCGUAGAUAUCAAGAGGAACACCCAUGGCGAAGGCAGCUCGCUGGCCUGCAACUGACACUGAGGAGCGAAAGCGUGGGGAGCGAACAGGAUUAGAUACCCCCGUAGUCCCUGUCUCUUAUAC